CAUGGCCUUUUGAUUAUAAUUUAAGGUCUAAUCUGCCCACUGAAGUUUUAAAUGGCCGCAGUAUUUUGACUGUGCUAAGGUAGCAUAAUAAAUAGUUUUUUAAUUGAAAGCUGGUAUGAAUGAUUGAAUGAGAUAAAGGCUGUCUUAAAUUUAAUAAUUGAAUUUUAUAUUUAAGUUAAAAAGCUUAAAUAAAAUUAAAAGACGAGAAGACCCUAUAGAGUUUAAUAGUUUUAAAUUUGAAAAUUUUUUUAUAAAAUAUAUUUUAAAAUUUAAAAUUAUUUUGUUGGGGUGAUUAAAAAAUUUAAUUAACUUUUUUUUUAAUUAACAUUAAUUUAUGUAUGAAUGAUCCAUUAUUUAUAAUGAUUAAAAGAAUAAAUUACCUUAGGGAUAACAGCGUAAUUAUUUUUGAGAGUUCUUAUCAAAAAAAUAGAUUGCGACCUCGAUGUUGGAUUAAAGUUAAUUUUUGGUGUAGAAGCUAAAAUUUUAAGUCUGUUCGACUUUUAAAACUUUACAUGAUCUGAGU
rnacentral:rRNA from 1 species